rnacentral:lncRNA from 1 species
UUUUUUCUAUCUGAUACACUGGGCCCGAAUGGUCUAGUACAGACUAUCCCUACUUGACAGAAUGUAGUCAUACAACUGGAACCAGCCCUAUCAGAAUGCAACCCAGUAAAAGCAGAAGUAAUUAGGUGGCAAUUAGCGAACACUAUUAAGAACUUUAAUACCUCGGAACUCCAUUCUCUAUAUACCAAAAUAAGAGCAGUUAAGAACUGGAUGGAUUCCAAUGGCAUAGUCUGUGCCCAUAAUGAUAAAUCGAAAAUGAUGGCCAUUCUCAAGAAGAAUAGAUACGAUGCAUAUUUAUAUGCCUUUAUAGAAGAAAGUGCAUGCCAUGAGUUGCCUUACGAUCCGACGGAAAAACUAGAUAAGGAAGUACACACCAUUCUAAGAAAUAAUAAAUUGCCCUCCUUUUUGAGAACAGCAUAUGUAAAGUCACCGGCAUUCCCUAGACUUUUCGCCUUCAUCAAGCGUCAUAAACAACCAGUGGAGCCAGACCCGUAGUGGAGAGAACAUUUGC